GGAUGUUGCCUGGAUGGCGUAACUGCAGCUCAGGGUCCAAACAGGGCAGGAUGUUUGGAAUCAAGUGACCACACUUCAGUGGACCUUUCUCCAACAAGGCCAGACACUAGAGGGGCAUGUGUGACUGCUACCUAUGGGUGCUGCAAUGAUGGGGUGACCCCAGCAGCCGGCACCAAUGGGGAAAGCUGUCCCAGUCCUCCUACCAAUGCCCACAGACCAGAGUGUUUCCUGCCUUCCAACGCUGGCUCAUGUAGUGAUUGGACCUCCCGCUUUUACUAUGACAUCACCACUAGCAGCUGUGUGCAUUUCUGGUUCGGUGGCUGCCACGGCAACCGUAAUAACUUUGUCACAAAAGAGGAGUGCCAGAGGCAUUGUCAGAGUGAAGUGCUGAGCCAGCAACCACCCAUCCUGGUGUCUAGGGGGGGCCCAACCCACAGCCCAACAGGAAGUGUGAGGAGAAUAGUCCCGGCACUGCCUGGUUCCA